rnacentral:rRNA from 1 species
GACGAACGCUGGCGGCGUGCCUAAUACAUGCAAGUAGAACGCUCAAGGAGGAGCUUUCUUCUCUGGAUGAGUUGCGAAGGGGUGUGUAUCGCGUAUGUAACCUGCCUGUUAGCGGGGGAUAACACUUGGAAACGCUAGCUAAUACAGCAUAAUAUUUGUUGUUCCAUGAGAUUUGCUUAAAAGAUGCAGUUUUGUUGUUACCUAUUGGACCUUCGUCGUAAUAGUUGGUUGGUGGGGUAGUGGCUCACUAAGGCGACGAUACAUAGUCGACCUGCGAGGGUGAUAGGCCAAACUGGGAAUGAGACACGGCCCAGACUCCUACGGGAGGCAGCAGUAGGGAAGCUUCGGCAAUGGACGGAAGUCUGAACGAGCAACGCCGCGUGAGUGAAGAAGGGUUUCGGAUCGUAAAGAUCUGUUGUAAGAGAAGAACGAGUGUGAGAGUGGAAAGUUCACACUGUGACGGUAUCUUACCAGAAAGGGACGGCUAACUACGUG